UACAGAGGUCUCAAGCGUUGUUCGGAUUCAUUGGGCGUAAAGGGUGCGUAGGUGGCGCGCUAAGUCAGGUGUGAAAUUUCGGAGCUUAACUCCGAAACUGCAUUUGAUACUGGCGUGCUUGAGGACUGGAGAGGAGACUGGAAUUCAUGGUGUAGCAGUGAAAUGCGUAGAGAUCAUGAGGAAGACCAGUGGCGAAGGCGGGUCUCUAGACAGUUCCUGACACUGAGGCACGAAGGCCAGGGGAGCAAACGGG
rnacentral:rRNA from 1 species